UAACAGGAAGCAGCUUGCUGCUUCGCUGACGAGUGGCGGACGGGUGAGUAAUGUCUGGGAAGCUGCCUGAUGGAGGGGGAUAACUACUGGAAACGGUAGCUAAUACCGCAUAAUGUCGCAAGACCAAAGAGGGGGACCUUCGGGCCUCUUGCCAUCGGAUGUGCCCAGAUGGGAUUAGCUUGUUGGUGGGGUAACGGCUCACCAAGGCGACGAUCCCUAGCUGGUCUGAGAGGAUGACCAGCCACACUGGAACUGAGACACGGUCGAGACUCCUACGGGAGGCAGCAGGGAUGAUUCUAGAAGUCUCUACAAUAUCUCAG
rnacentral:sRNA from 1 species